rnacentral:misc_RNA from 1 species
GUUCCGUAGGUGAACCUGCGGAAGGAUCAUUAUUGUAUAACCGAGGUGCGAGGGCUGUCGCUGACCCGAAAGGUCGUGCACGCCCGAGUGCCCUCACACACAUCCAUCUCACCCCUAUGUGCACCACCGCGUGGGUCCCUCUUUGGCUUGUUCGGAGGGGGGCUUACGUUUUCACACAAACUUUGUAUGCAGUGUAGAAUGUAUUUUUUGUUUUUGCGAUCACGCAAUCAAUACAACUUUCAACAACGGAUCUCUUGGCUCUC